UACGGGGGGGGCAAGCGUUGUUCGGAAUUACUGGGCGUAAAGGGUUCGUAGGCGGUGCGGCAAGUUGGGUGUGAAAUCUCUGGGCUUAACCCAGAGGCUGCUUCCAAAACUGCUGUGCUUGAGUGUGGGAGAGGCGCGUGGAAUUGCAGGUGUAGCGGUGAAAUGCGUAGAUAUCUGCAGGAACACCCGUGGCGAAAGCGGCAUCCUGGACCGGCAUUGACGCUGAUGAGCGAAAGCUAGGGGAGCAAACGGG
rnacentral:rRNA from 1 species